rnacentral:rRNA from 1 species
GACGAACGCUGGCGGCGUGCUUAACACAUGCAAGUCGAACGGUGAAGCGCUUGCCUUUUUGGUGGGUGUGGAUGAGUGGCGAACGGGUGAGUAACACGUGAGUAACCUGCCCUCUUCUUCUGGAUAACCUCAUGAAAGUGGGGCUAAUACGGGGUAUUCCGGGUCUGUCGCAUGGCGGGUUUGGGAAAGAUUGCGCCUUUGGGUGUUUUCGGUGGGGGAUGGGCUCGCGGCCUAUCAGCUUGUUGGUGGGGUGAUGGCCUACCAAGGCGGUGACGGGUAGCCGGCCUGAGAGGGUGGACGGCCACACUGGGACUGAGACACGGCCCAGACUCCUGCGGGAGGCAGCAGUGGGGAAUAUUGCACAAUGGGCGCAAGCCUGAUGCAGCGACGCCGCGUGAGGGAGGGAGGCCUUCGGGUGGUGAACCUCUUUCGCCAGUGAAGCAGGCCUGCUCCUGUGUGGGUGGGUUGACGGUAGCUGGAUAAGAAGCGCCGGCUAACUACGUG